rnacentral:rRNA from 1 species
AGUGAACGCUGGCGGUAGGCCUAACACAUGCAAGUCGAACGGCAGCACAGUAAGAGCUUGCUCUUACGGGUGGCGAGUGGCGGACGGGUGAGGAAUACAUCGGAAUCUACUUUUUCGUGGGGGAUAACGUAGGGAAACUUACGCUAAUACCGCAUACGACCUACGGGUGAAAGCAGGGGAUCUUCGGACCUUGCGCGAUUGAAUGAGCCGAUGUCGGAUUAGCUAGUUGGCGGGGUAAAGGCCCACCAGGGCGACGAUCCGUAGCUGGUCUGAGAGGAUGAUCAGCCACACUGGAACUGAGACACGGUCCAGACUCCUACGGGAGGCAGCAGUGGGGAAUAUUGGACAAUGGGCGCAAGCCUGAUCCAGCCAUACCGCGUGGGUGAAGAAGGCCUUCGGGUUGUAAAGCCCUUUUGUUGGGAAAGAAAAGCAGCAGGUUAAUACCCCGCUGUUCUGACGGUACCCGAAGAAUAAGCACCGGCUAACUUCGUG